rnacentral:lncRNA from 1 species
CGGGAGGGAGCCAGUUGUCGGGCGGGGCGACAGCGGUCACACAGCAUUAGCCCUGCGGCCGCCCCGCCAGGUGCGGCCACUGCCCCUAAUCCCUGGCCCGCCCUGCUAAGCCCGGCCUGAGCAAUGCCACAGCUGGGGGCGGCCGGCCACGCGCCGCCCCUCACCGCAGCCCAGCUUUCCCCACCCCACCCCAACCCCUGGCGUGUGCCCUGAACCCCAAUCGAUCUCCAGCCCUGCAUAGCAAUCCAGCCCAGCUGGUCAUUGACCCUGUGCCCCCAACCUGGACUCUAAGCAUCUCCAUGGCUCCCCGCAAUGCCUCUCCUCUUGGUUCACCUGCCUCUGCUAUUGUUGGGAAGCUUGCUCUCCAAGAUAGAGCCUUCAUAGAUCUCAGCUACGUUUCAGGAGCAGCAGCAGGGCUCUGAAGGACACAAGGUGGCUUCCAGAGCACAGAUGAAGAUGUUGGCUGGGUUGGGGCUCAUCUCAAGGCCUGACUGGGGAGAAGCCACACCCAUCUUACUCCAUCUUACUGGGAGCCUCAGUUUCUUGUCAUGUGGGGCAGCUCACAACAUGGCUGCUGGCUUCUCUUUAGAGAAAGUGAACGAAGAAAGCAUGCAAAGACAUAGAGCACCUGAAGCAAGCUAAGAUGUGAUGCCCCAUUGUUACGGAAUGUCAAGAGGGAAGCAGGCAGCACUAGUAGCCUUCUUACAGGAGCUCUGGUCCCUUGGUAGAUAUUUAUUUAUUAAAUGAUCAUCAGAGAACACUGCUCCUACUGACUACCAUCUUCAAACAGUUUCUCAUCCCCCAUCCCACCUCAUUUUUCUCUUUGUGGAUACUGUUUACAAUGAGAAUUUUAAAAUGUAUUUAAACCUCAG